AUUGAACGCUGGCGGCAGGCCUAACACAUGCAAGUCGAGCGAGCGGCGGACGUGUGAGUAAUGUAUGGGGAUCUGCCCGAUGGAUGGGGAUAACUACUGGAAACGGUGGCUAAUACCGCAUACUAUAGGCUGAACCCAUAUCGGAUUAGCUAGUAGGUGGGGUAAAGGCUCACCUAGGCGACGAUCUGUAGCUGGUCUGAGAGGAUGAACAGCCACACUGGGACUGAGACACGGCCCAGACUCCUACGGGAGGCAGCAGUGGGGAAUAUUGGACAAUGGGCGAAAGCCUGAUGCAGCCAUGCCGCGUGUAUGAAGAAGGUCUUAGGGUUGUAAAGUACUUUCAGUGGGGAGGCGUUACCCGCAGAAGAAGCACCGGCUAACUCCGUGCCAGCAGCCGCGGUAAUUC
rnacentral:rRNA from 1 species